rnacentral:lncRNA from 1 species
UGAUCACGUCUCAUGACCAAUCUUUUGAGUCCUCAGGAGCUACGAAAUCCUAACAGCAUCACUCCUUCCUAAUGCAACAAUCUUUAGAGAAUUUAACUUCCAAAACACUAGAUUUGCCCCUAGCUUGAUUUUAUUUUUCUUCCUCUAAUUAUUCAUCUAUUUAUGCUGAUUAUAUACUUACAUAAACCAAUUCCAAUUAUUUUUGAUGUCAAGCCAGAAUGGCAAAUGAUAAAAUAGAAUUAACUUCAUGUUAAUGUUUUUGCCAUAAUAUUUUUGGCUAGGAAAAUCUAGCAUGACGAGAACAGAAAUU